AAAAAGCAACAGCAUUGCAAAUCCAGUAGGGUGAUAUUUUACUGCAUCUUACAAUACAGUUUCAUCAUUGGACAGGGGGCUGUCCUCUCAAUCCGCAACUGUUCCAAGAUCUUAAAAAUAGUGCCAUCACCUUUCAAGAGCCCAGACCUGCAUUGACAAGGAGGGCUGUUUGAUAACAGUACAGGUGAAACUGUGUGAGGAGUGACCAGAGUGGUCAGCUCACUUCCUAGAGAGAGUGUGUACAAAAGAUGAGCUGUUACUUCCCCCACAAUAGUUUUCCAAACUCAUUUUCUGCUGUUGGAUUUGUUAUACAGUUCAUCUCCUCUUUUGUCUCACAGCCCCUUACAUUGACUGCUGCUCCCCUCUUUAACCAGUUAUGACACUGCUCAUCUCUAUGUCCCCAGGGCUAUAGAACCUGAGUAUCUCCGUAAAGUGGAAACUGAAAGGGGACCUUAAAUAUCAUUGGGGCCAACCUCCUUGAUUUUGUAGAUGAGACAAUAGUGGCACAGAGAGAUUAGGAAACUAGGUCAGAGUUAUUCAGCUAGAGCCUGGCAGAGGCAGAAGUUGAGCUUGGAACGCUGGUUUGUUCACUAGACUACUGUCUACUCGCUGAAAGGUAGCUGAUCCUUGAAAAUAAAGAGAGAGAGAUGGAAGGCAUAGGGAUAUUUUGUUUCUUGCAAGUCUGUUUGUUCUAGGACAAGCCUCCAUGCCUUUUUAGGAACUAGGUAACAAAACAGAAACAGACUCACAGACAUGAAGAACAGAUUUGUGGUUGCUAAGGGGGUAGGGAAGGGAGUGAGAUGGACGGGGAGUUUGGGGUUAGGAGAUGCAAACUAUUACUUUCAGAAUGGAUAAGCAGUGAGGUCCUACUGUACAGCACAGAGAACUAUGUCCGGUCUCUUGGGAUAGACCAUGAUGGAAGCUGAUAUAAGAAAGGGAAUAUGUGUAUGAGCGGGUCACUUUGAUGUACAGCAGAAAUUGACAGAACACUGUAAAUCAAGUAUAAGAAAAAAGUUUUUUAAAUGCAUGUCUUCAUUUACAGUCAAUUCAGAAUGUAGUGUGGGCUUAACACUGCUCUGGAGAGGGUGAUAAGGAGAGGUAAUUAAAGGAAUUUUAAAGUCUAAAAGAAUUUGUAAUAUCAUUGGGGAAAUGAAAAUAAUACAAAUUGUGGUAGUAGGUUAAACAAGAAGUUUUCAAAAUCAGUGACACCUUAGGUGCUUCGAGAAGGAGGAAUCGGCACAGGCCAGAGUGACCUGCAAAGGCUUCACAGAGAAGGUUAGGGUGUGAGCUCAGCUUUCCAGUACGUACAAGAAAUGACCAGCUAGAAGAAGAGGCCCAGGGCUCCUUCACAGGAAGGAGCAGGUGUCAGUGUUCCCAGCAGCAGUGUGCAUCAGACCUGUAAAAGGUGGGAGCUUUAUCCCUGGGAGAUGAGGUGCGGCUGGGGAUACAGGGUGAGAGGAGAUGCUAUCCUGAGGACCCGGACUAUCCUAGAGGCAGAGAUGUGACAUCAAGUAGCUCCUGUGGAAGAUGAAUCCAGCACUGCAUGCAGGAUGGGCAGGUGUUGGGAAGAACCAGGUGGGCAAAAGGCAAGAGGUGAUGGACUCCAGGACACUUAAAAUGGGACUCUCAGCAAGCUUUCUUUUUAUUUAAAUAGAAUAUUAAUUACCAUGUCCAUGUGGCCGAUCCUUUUAUGCCAUAGUUGAGAUGUCCCUUCUCUCUGAAAGCCCUCGGUGACCCCUGGGUUCAGCUUAUGGUCCUUCCGGUGUGCUUUCAUAGCACCGCGCGCUUUCUCUAGCAUAGCAUCUCCCAUGCUGGGUUAUGAAUGUCUAAUGGUUGGUCACCCGUUUGGACAGUGAGCUUCCCAACCACAGGACCGUUUUCUGUCUUGUUCACUGUCUCAUCCCUCGGGCUUCAUGUCCAGCUUAGAGAAAAUGCUCAUUCAAUUCUUGUUGAAUAACUAAGUGACAGACCCAAUGGGAGAAGAGGAAAGACAAGAGGGUGGAAGAGAGUUGGGGGGUGGGGGUGGUUGGAGAGACUGAGAGAGAGAAAGGAAAGAGGAAAGAAAAGGAUAAAGAUUCAGAGAUGUAAAAAAAAAAGAAUUUCGGAUUACCAAAAAACUGUUUUCAGCAAGGCUUCGUGUGACUCUGCACAAAGCCAGUGAAUACCGAUUUAAUGGAUGCUGGUAUCUUGGGCUUUGAAAGUCAAAUAUGAAACACAUCAUAAUCACUUUUGCCUGGUUCUGUCUGCUAGUAAAAUGCAUCAAAAAUUUCCAGUUAGUGAGGGAAAUGAGGAUAAAGCCAAGGAUCAAAUAAACUUACUUGCUCUCUCUUAAAUAAAUGUUUUAUUUUAAAUGAUGAUAAUGCAU
rnacentral:lncRNA from 1 species